GAUGAACGCUGGCAGCAUGCUUAACACAUGCAAGUCGACCUGACUGUGGGGAUUUUACUUAGUCUUGUGUUGCGGACGGGCGAGUAACGCGUAAAUGACUUGCCUCCCAGCUAGGGACAACAUAUGUAAACGAAUGCGAAUUCCUAAUAUUAGAAUAAUAGAGCAUCCUAGAAUUAUGAAAGCUAUAAGCGCUGUGAGAGGGCUUUGAGUCAAAUUCGCUAGUUGGAGAAGUAACUGCUCAACAAGGCGAUGAUGGGUAGCCGGCCUGGGAGGGAGAUCGGCCACAAGGGGACACAGGCACGGCCCUUACUCCUACGGCCGGAAGCAGUGGGGAAUAGUCGAAGAAGGACCGAGAGUCUGAUCAAGCACUUCUGUGUGCACGAUGAAGUUUUUAGGAAUGUAAAGUGCUUUCAGUUGGGAAGAAACAAAUGACGGUACCAACAGAAGAAGUGACGGCUAAAUACGUG
rnacentral:rRNA from 1 species